AACGGUCUAUACCUGCGGUACCUGCGGAGGGAUCAUUGACAAAUCUUUUUAAAAUAUUUGACAUUGGUUCAGGGUAAAACUUGUACCUAAUGUUAAUAUAUUUACCCGGAGCCAGUUUGGCUCGGGCAAUUUUUGUAGGGAUCUUCCUUGCGGAAAUUGUCAAUUGAGCUAUUGAGGUGAAAUAUACUCAAUAGCACAUAAACUCGAUUGUAUUUGUUUGACAGUGUAUUAUUUAAUUGU
rnacentral:misc_RNA from 1 species